rnacentral:ncRNA from 1 species
ACUGGAAUAGAAACACGGUCUGGUUGGUAGUCCAGACGCAAUGAAAAUUGUCAGUAACCUGCCUCCUUGGUUGUCCGUUUCCAG